UACGAAGGGGGCUAGCGUUACUCGGAUUGACUGGGCGUAAAGGGCGCGUAGGCGGUUCGUACAGUCAGACGUGAAAUUCCUGGGCUCAACCUGGGGGCUGCGUUUGAUACGUGCGGGCUUGAGUUCGGAAGAGGGUCGUGGAAUUCCCAGUGUAGAGGUGAAAUGCGCAGAUAUCAGGAAGAACACCUAUGGCGAAGGCAGCUCUCUGGGACGGUACUGACGCUGAGACGCGAAAGCGUGGGGAGCGAACAGG
rnacentral:rRNA from 1 species